ensembl:lincRNA
GCGCGGAGCACGCCGGAUGUCUGGAGAGACAGGUGUGUGCUAGGUGUCUGGAAGUCGAGGGCCGCGGUGUGCGGUACAAAACCCACAAGACCUUGAGUCAACAAUGUGGGGGGAGGUGAAUCCUUCUGCUCCUCCUGGGAUUGUGUGAGUAUGGGACGCAUUUGGUGGGAUGCCCCAUUCAAGAUGGACUUUGAGUAAGCUGAAAGUCUGAUGACCAAAUCAACUCUAUGGGCAUUCAACCCUCUUGCCUCUGAACUACAGACACUGGGCAGUACAACCCCAUCCUCUUUAGGCUUACAGACUUGGGGGGAAAAGGCUAUUGAAUUGGACUGUUUCAGCUGGUGUUGAACAGUCCUCUGAGGGGGAGUGAGUAUGCAUAUAGGAAAGACAGAAAGAAGACUCAGAAACAAAGGUUAGACAUUAGGAGGUCUGUAGGUCUAUACCACACUAACCCUGAAUGUAUUUCUGAUAGCCUUUAUAUACUUUACAGUAUCAUGGGAAACAAAGUCACAAGGUAGAAGAGAAAAUGGCUGAUGUACAUAAGUUAUCUGUUCCCAUCUGGAGGCCUCCCUUCCACCAAGAUUAAUAGAAUAUUCAACCACUCACCUUGGGGUUCAAGUGUAUCUCCUCUUAUUGUUUCAAGAGUCAGCAGGCCGGGAAACCUGGUAGCAGACUCUGAUCUGCCUUGACUCUAUCUGACAGGAAAGCUUUCACAGAAGCAGGUCAAAAUGGCUCCUGGCAUCUUCCCCUUUUUAUUUUAUACAAGCCAAAGCUGUGUCAGUGAUUGGCACAGAAAUAGUGUGCCUGUCCUAGAUGUCUCCUCAAAAACUUCAAAUCUUACCCAUCUUUGGAACAUGAAUCCUGGCACUCAUGUCCUGUCUUAAGUUGAUCCAGCUCUGAGUGUUCCUAUAUUUUACUAAAAGCCUCUGCAAUGGGGGAUGUUACCCAUUAGGUUCCAGUUUUGAGACAAAUAUGGUGGAGACCUGCGUGUAUGUUCAAAAAGGAAUGGAGGGCAAACUUAAUCGCAAGUGGUAACAAGCAUAAUUCUAUAACCAUUAGAGUGCCUAAGGCAAGUACCGAGAAGGCCAAAUAAGUAAAAGAAAUCAGCCUUGAGCAGGUUUUUUCCAGCCUUGAGCAGGCUGAAUAGACCUUAUUGGACCUUAAAGACCUAGGUGGAGUCAUCCACCUUGGUUGCAUAUGCAACUUCCUACAGGAACUUUGAAUAGACUGCCUGCUGACCUUGCUUUGCAACAUAAUCCAUCUGAAACAAAGGAUGGGUCUGUAGGCUCUCCCUAUAUAAAUGCAGUGCUGAAUAUUAAACUUGGAGCCUUGAUCAGAACCUUGUCUUGGCUUCAUUCUUCUCUCACUGCCCCUCCCCCAUCCCUUUCAUUUCCAGUGCCACCUUUCAGGUGAACCCAGUUUGUCUAUGGUCACUGGACAGCUAUAGGUGGCAUCCAAACAAGGGGCCUGAAAAUGGGGGGACCCGCUGAGAAACGCUGUCUUGGGUGGAGCUCCACAGAAACAGAAGAAAAGUUACAGUAUCCUGCACGGUAAGCAAUGGACAGCAUUAAUGCUAGCAUUGAUUAUAUUUUUUUUGGAGGCUGUUGUUGUAGGAGGUGCAUUUGAGGGGGAUACAGGCUUCACCGAAGAGGUGUUGACCCAAUGCCAACUUCACCUACAGGUGACAGCACAAUGGCAAUUUUCCACAGCCAAAAGAGCUGCAUCAGCUGAGAGGAGCAGGGUUUAAAAAACAGAUGUUAGAAAAAUUCUUAGCUCAAGUAGAUUUAUGCUGUCCAUGGUUUCCAAAAGUAGGAAUGAUAAAAGCUAUUGCAGAGCUCUCCUAGGAACAGGAAAAAAAAUCAGGAGAUGUCCUACUUCCUCUCUGGCUCCUACUGAAGAUAUCCUUAGUUCUGGUUCUGGGUCUCUUAGGGAGGAUAUCUGGGUCUCUUUGGGACAUCAAGUUCUCUUCCCUCUCUGUCUAUUGUCUGUCCUUGGUGCACCAGUCUGUCCAUGUCUGUGAAUUUAUGUCUGUUUUUCUUUGUUUGAAUGUUGUUCUGUGCUUCAUGUUC